GUAACCUCUUCCUUCCUUGUUGCUCGGUAACGGUCUAUGGUAUGGUCACACUGGAGUUUGUUCAGCUGUUAACAGACAUCAGGGUUGCUUCCAUUUUACCUUUACCCUCAUGAAUAAAGCUUAGAAGAUUUUCGUGCAGAAAUCAUCUGUGGGAGUCCAUUCUGAGUUGUCUUUACUCUCCUAUUGGCCUGUGUCCCCCAGUGUCACCACGUCUUGAUUACACUAGCUAUAAGAGCUUCCACCCAGCUGCCUUUUAAACAGUAAGGGGUAUGCCCACUGCUGCGACAGGAGACCUUGAGCUUUCCAUAGAAUCUUUGUA